AUUGAACGCUGGCGGCAGGCCUAACACAUGCAAGUCGAGCGAGGGGCGGACGGGUGAGGAAUGUCUGGGAAACUGCCUGAUGGAGGGGGAUAACGAAUGGAAACGGUAGCUAAUACCGCAUACCAUCAGAUGUGCCCAGUUGUGAUUAGUUGGUAGGUGGGGGAACGGCUUACCUAGGCGACGAUCCCUAGCUGGUCUGGAAGGAUGAUCAGGCACACUGGAACUGAGACACGGUCCAGACUACUACGGGGGGCAGCAGGGGGGAAUAUUGCACAAUGGGCGGAAGCCUGAUGCAGCCAUGCCGCGUGUGAGAAGAAGGCCUUCGGGUUGUAAAGCACUUUCAGCGGGGAGGCGUUACCCGCAGAAGAAGCACCGGCUAACUCCGUGCCAGCAGCCGCGGUAAUUC
rnacentral:rRNA from 1 species